GCCAGGCAUGGUGACUCAUGCCUGUAAUCCCAGCACUUUGGGAGGCCGAGGUGGGUGGAUCACCUGAGGUCAGGAAUUCGAGGCCAGCCUGGCCAACAUGGUGAAACCCCAUCUCUA
rnacentral:SRP_RNA from 2 species